UACGUAGGGUGCAAGCAUUAAUCGGAAUUACUGGGCGUAAAGCGCGCGUAGGUGGUUUGUUAAGUUGAAUGUGAAAGCCCCGGGCUCAACCUGGGAACUGCAUCCAAAACUGGCAAGCUAGAGUAUGGCAGAGGGUGGUGGAAUUUCCUGUGUAGCGGUGGAAUGCGUAGAUAUAGGAAGGAACACCAGUGGCGAAGGCGACCACCUGGGCUAAUACUGACACUGAGGUGCGAAAGCGUGGGGAGCAAACAGG
rnacentral:rRNA from 1 species